rnacentral:lncRNA from 1 species
CCCAAUCUCCCUCGCCUCGGCCAAUCCGCGCGCUCCAUUCCGCUGCCCGCCCAGCCAACCCGGGCCUUGAAACCAGCAGGCGAAUGGGCGCGAGACGGCCCUUCGCCGCUGAGCGCCUGGCCAGUUAGGGACUCCGCGUGGCCAGGACAACCGCCAAUCGUCGUGGAGCGCGGCGCCUCCGCGGAGAGGUCCGGUCCGAAUAUCCCUCCGCCUUCCUCCCUCCCUCGCUCCCUAAAUGCGCGCUGCCUCUCACUCACAGCCUCCCUUCCUUCUUUCUCCCUCCGCCUCCCGAGCACCAGCGCGCUCUGAGCUGCCCCCGGGGUCCCUCCCCCGCCGCCAGCAGCCCAUUUGGAGGGAGGAAGUAAGGGAAGAGGAGAGAAAGGGGAGCCGGACCGACUACCCAGACAGAGCCGGUGAAUGGGUUUGUGGUGACCCCCGCCCCCCACCCCACCCUCCCUUCCCACCCGACCCCCAACCCCCAUCCCCAGUUCGAGCCGCCGCCCGAAAGGCCGGGCCGUCGUCUUAGGAGGAGUCGCCGCCGCCGCCACCUCCGCCAUGGAGCUGAUCACCAUUCUCGAGAAGACCGUGUCUCCCGAUCGGCUGGAGCUGGAAGCGGCGCAGAAGUUCCUGGAGCGUGCGGCCGUGA